UUUCGCAUUAUAGAGUUCCUUAAAAGACCAUUACACUGUUUGAUUACUAUGACUAUGAUUUAUUAACAUUCUCUUUAUUCACAGCUGCUGCCAACAAUGGACCCAACUCUGCUCAAAGUGCACCACUUUUACCUCCAGCUGCUCCCCCUGCCGACGACUCGCCCAGUAACAACACCAACGGCUAGACAAAUAGUGUUCUGGAUGAAAACAGACGAAAUAAUGAGGAACUGCUUAAUUUCUGCAGAUAAUAUAAUUACAUACAUGAAGAUUCACUUUGCUCUCUGGAACCAAAUUUAGCAAUUCAACAGAUACAUUUACUGUGGGAUACAAACGUAAACCGUGAACCUUCAAUAUUCAAACAGCACCGACUUUGUGUUGUAGCACAUUGUACCUUGGAAACAGAUGGAUGAGCACUAAGUAAAAGUUAUAGUGCUUAUCUAAAAUAGUUAAAAGUUGAAUGAGCUUGUUUUUGUCAGGGUUAAAAGAUCGUAGGUCAGGUUUGGAUUCAGGAUGAUUUAGAAAAGUAUGAAAAAAUUAAAGCACCUUAAAGAGAAAAAAAAAUGUUGUUGGAUCAGAGAUCUUAAAUGCUAACAUUUACAACUAAAUUUCUACAACAGUGUGUGAAUUAAGGAAUUAUUAGGAGAGGAAUUUUUAUCAAAUCUUACUAGAGUUAGUAACGAGAGAUUGCAGAGGAGACACCAGCGCUGAAAGUAAAUGGAAUAAAGUCAGUGAUGGAAA